rnacentral:rRNA from 1 species
UACGUAGGAGGCAAGCGUUGUCCGGAGUUACUGGGCGUAAGGCGCACGCAGGCGGUCUUGUCAGUCUGUAGGGACAGGGCACAGCUCAACUGUGUCAGGCUUAUGGAAACUGCAAGACUUGAGGGCUUCAGAGGGAUGGGGAAUUCCGGGUGGAGUGGUGAAAUGCGUAGAGAUCCGGAAGAACACCAAAGGCGAAGGCACCAUCCUGGGGAGUCACUGACGCUCGGGUGCGAAAGCUAGGGGAGCGAACGGG